rnacentral:rRNA from 1 species
GAUGAACGCUGGCGGCGUGCUUAACACAUGCAAGUCGAACGGGAUCCAAGGGGUGCUUGCACUUUUUGGUGAGAGUGGCGAACGGGUGAGUAACACGUGAGUAACCUGUCCUUUUCUUUGGGAUAAGCAUUCGAAAGGGUGUUUAAUACCUUAUGUUCUGUCUGCCUCGCAUGGGGUGGGUGGGAAAGGCUUUGGCCGGAUUUGGGUGGGCUCGCGGUCUAUCAGCUUGUUGGUGGGGUGAUGGCUUACCAAGGCUUUGACGGGUAGCCGGCCUGAGAGGGUGGUCGGUCACAGUGGGACUGAGAUACGGCCCGGACUCCUGCGGGAGGCAGCAGUGGGGGAUAUUGCACAAUGGGCGAAAGCCUGAUGCAGCGACGCCGCGUGGGGGAUGAAGGCCUUCGGGUUGUAAACUUCUUUUGCUCUGAACAAGGCAUGCCAGUGGGUGUGUUGAGUGUAGGGGUUGAUUAGCGCCGGCUAACUACGUG